rnacentral:lncRNA from 1 species
CUUUUGCCUGAGGCCAUUAACGAAAUACAGAAGCUGACAAGAGGUUCAAAAAACCAUCAACCAGCUGAAUAAAAUUAACAAUAAACUUGAAUUCCAAAGAACGAAAUUAAAGACGGAACUCAUGGAUCAUAGAGUUUGCCUUGAAAACGAAAUCGGGUAAAGUUGUAAUGACUCUGACAUAGAAAUUAUGGACAUAGGAUCGGACGACGAAGAUCUACAAACAAAAAGCCUAAGUACCUAUCGACCUUUUUUAAAUAUGCGAUUUGCACAGGGAAAUAUUGGGCGAUGUAGUGUCUUCAAUAAACAACUAAAUUUUAUUAAACUUAUUAUAGGUACAACCUAUCACAAG